CCUACGGGUGGCAGCAGUGGGGAAUAUUGCACAAUGGGGGAAACCCUGAUGCAGCGACGCCGCGUGGGUGACGAAGUAUUUCGGUAUGUAAAGCCCUAUCAGCAGGGAAGAAGAUGACAGUACCUGACCAAGAAGCCCCGGCUAACUACGUGCCAGCAGCCGCGGUAAUACGUAGGGGGCAAGCGUUAUCCGGAUUUACUGGGUGUAAAGGGAGCGUAGGUGGCAUGGCAAGCCAGAAGUGAAAACCCGGGGCUUAACCCCGCGGAUUGCUUUUGGAACUGUCAGGCUGGAGUGCAGGAGGGGCAGGCGGAAUUCCUGGUGUAGCGGUGAAAUGCGUAGAUAUAUGGAAGAACACCAGUGGCGAAAGCGGCUCUCUGGUCUGUAACUGACGCUGAGGUUCGAAAGCGUGGGUAGCAAACAGGAUUAGAUACCCCUGUAGUC
rnacentral:rRNA from 1 species